rfam:Loxodonta africana unplaced genomic scaffold scaffold_0, whole genome shotgun sequence.
GCCCUGGUGGCUCAGUGGUUAAGCACUCGGCUGGUAACUGAAAGGUUGGUGGUUUGAACCAACCUACUGCU